AUUUAUGAAGUUUUAAACAUUUCAUUUUCAUUGAAAAAAUAGGAGUCUUUCUUCUCUUAAAUA
rnacentral:tRNA from 1 species